rnacentral:rRNA from 1 species
UACGGAGGGGGCUAGCGUUGUUCGGAAUUACUGGGCGUAAAGCGCACGUAGGCGGCUUUGUAAGUUAGAGGUGAAAGCCCGGAGCUCAACUCCGGAAUUGCCUUCGAUACUGAGAGUCUCGAGUCCGGGAGAGGUGAGUGGAACUGCGAGUGUAGAGGUGAAAUUCGUAGAUAUUCGCAAGAACACCAGUGGCGAAGGCGGCUCACUGGCCCGGUACUGACGCUGAGGUGCGAAAGCGUGGGGAGCAAACAGG